UCCAGGUUAAUGAGAAUCAAAGUCCAACUGACAAUUUAGCAGAUUCUGUUGUAGCACUUUUAUCUCAACACAACUCUCAAUCAACUACUGUUACUGAGGCUAAGGAUGAUGAUAUUGUUAAGCAGUUGAUACAAGAAGGAAUGGAGAGAGCUAAUGAGAGGGCAAUCAGUAGGGCUGCACGCAUUCAGAAGUUCACUAUACUACCAGUUGAGUUCAGUAU